ensembl:snRNA U2 U2 spliceosomal RNA
CACACUUCCCAGCUGUUGGCUAAGAUCAAGUGCAUCAUCUUUUCUUAUCACUUUAUUAUCUGAUACAUCCUCAGCUCAAAGAUUAUAUAUUAAAUGGAUUUGGAAGGCAGGGGAAGGAGUGAUCACUUCCUCCAUCCACUUUACACAUCAGCCCAAAAGAGUGGUUUUGCC